AUGGUCGGUUACGUUCCUGGGAUUUAUUCUUUCACCCGAAGGAAUCUGAAUGGAUCCUAUCUAUUUCACUGUUCGCUGGGCACUGGAGAGAGGUUAUUGAGUUGUUGUUUUUGCAUUUUCUUACAAUCCCUCUCUUUAUAUCAUUAUGUUUAUGUGUAUAGUGAGUGUGUGCCCUGUUCUUUCUUCCCAGUGGUUACUGAAGCCAUCCAAAUGCCUUUUUGUCUCAAGAUGGAUACUUGGAGAAGGACAUUGGGAUGUCAUGUCUCUUCCGUCUGCCUGUUUUGUAUUAGCAUUCUAGGAGCUCUUCUCUUACACAUCCUGAUAAACAGAAGUUGAAGGGCAUGAAAACAGCUUUAAGGCCAUUUCCCAAAUGACAUCUUCAGCCCUCAUGGCCCUCCUCUGCGGUCCUGUUCCAUAAAGCACGCUCAGGUCUCCUCUGUAUCUAUACUCUGCCACAUGGACUGUUAGGUAACAAUCUGCUGUUGACUUUUGCACCAAUGCAAGCUUUUCAAAAGGGCUCAAUAUAGAUGUGUAAUCUCUAAUCUUGGACAUCCUACAGUUAUGGGUAUUGUUUAAGAAAACAUUCAAUGCAGAAAUUACUUAUUUCUUAUAACUUUAUUCUGUUUUCCUGCAGAAAGCACAAUAGCAGCCUAGUGUUGCAGUUACGCUCACCCACGAUAUCACAGGAUUUAUGAAACAGGCCUCUGGGCAUCCAGCUGUAGGAACGCCUACAAAAGUACAGUGACAUUGUGACCUCCAUCGAAUGCGAGAACACUGAAAUGACACACUACUGUCCACAUCAAGUGUUCUAUUUGGGAAAGAUCCCAAUAAUGAAGACUAGUUCCAAUUGUAAAUGUGGUUCAGCGAUCAAUAAUCAGGUCAUUCCCCUUUUUACUAGGAUUUUCUAGUUAUCAUUGUGUGCGCCUGUGAGGGUUUCUAUGCCGAUAUAAGAAUUUGUAUACUCUUGAAGAAUAAGUGAAAAUUUUACCUUUAGGUGUCCACGAUACAAAUGUCCUGUUCCACCACAUCCCAAAGCUGCUCUAUUGGAUUGAGAUCUGGUGACUGUGGAGGCCUUUUGAGUUCAGUGAACUCAUUGUCAUGAGAUGAGUCUGAGCUGAUUUGAGCUUUGUGACAUGGUGC
rnacentral:lncRNA from 1 species